rnacentral:rRNA from 1 species
ACAGAUCGUUCUAGAGUUUGAUCCUGGCUCAGGAUGAACGCUAGCGGCAGGCUUAAUACAUGCAAGGCGAAGGGGCAGCAAUGUCACUGUCGUACGGGUGCGUAACGCGUAUGCAACCUACCUAUCACUGGGGGAUAGCCCGGGGAAACCCGGAUUAAUACCGCAUAACACAGGGGCUCCUCAUGGAGAUAUUUGUUAAAGAUUUAUCGGUGGUAGAUGGGCAUGCGUUCGAUUAGCUAGUUGGUGCAGGUAACGGCUCACCAAGGCGACGAUCGAUAGGGGAGCUGAGAGGUUGAUCCCCCACACGGGCACUGAGAUACGGGCCCG